rnacentral:rRNA from 1 species
UACGUAGGGUGCAAGCGUUAAUCGGAAUUACUGGGCGUAAAGCGUGCGCAGGCGGUUUUGUAAGCCAGAUGUGAAAUCCCCCGGGCUUAACCUGGGAAUGGCAUUUGGGACUGCAAGGCUGGAGUACGGCAGAGGAGACUGGAAUUCCUGGUGUAGCAGUGAAAUGCGUAGAGAUCAGGAGGAAUACCGAUGGCGAAGGCAGGUCUCUGGGCUGAUACUGACGCUCAUGCACGAAAAGCGUGGGGGAGCAAACAGG